UGGCCACGGUGAGCUUGCUUGUUUAUUUAUUAGUUAUAGUUGUUAUCUUUUGCCUUUGUUUUCUGUUUAUAUGCUCCCUUUGUACUGUGUAUGUGUGAUAAAUGAACUUUUUUGUGAAGUACAAACUGGUAACUGAUAAAUGAUAAAAGUUCUCAGUAAAGAUCAAUGUUCCGGGUACUUGGCCGAGCCUUAUUUUGUUUGAUCUGAAUAUGUUUUAGUGAUGUUAGAGAGGGUAUGAAUGACUCUUACUUAAUUGUCAUCACUGGGGUUCCGUUAUCUCCUCUUGACUUAUUUGCUGAUGGAUUUUAAAAUUUCAGCGCAAUGAAGUUCUAUCAUCAAAUUCAUACAACUGGACUCAUGCUUCAAGUUGGUGAAACUAAGAUUGGUUAAUUGAUUCCUUGUAUUUGCUUAUUAAAUUUUUUUUCUAGUCUCACAGAUAAUUGCUUAAUUUUGCGAAGUAUUCUCUUAUUAAGGGUCAAUACCUAGCUGAAGUGAAUGUUGUCAGCACAUCCAGAACAAUGUUAUACUUGAUCAUGUCAAGUUGAUGUCGAACUUCCAAGGUCCUUGAGCUCUAGUGACCCCGGCUCAAUAAUUCCUUGAGCUCCAGCAAUUUUUCUCAAGGCAUCUAAUAUGGAUGGGUCUUAUUUAUAUGAGGAGUUGACUACCUAUCUAGCUAGUGCUACUCGUUCUAAUCUGCAUAUGGCAAAUGAGUUUGCUUAAUUUGUCUUCCUGUUUGCAUACAAUUCUUAUGGAAGUGGAACAGAGCUUCACAAGGAAUUUGCUGGAAGUAUUGAAAAUAUCCUUGGAGCCUCACAAGGUUUUCUUGGAGAACAUAGAAAUGAAUAAGAAUGUGUUGCAGUUUGUUCACAUUCUAGCAUUUUUUUUUUUUGUUUUUUGCUAGAAUCGUUUAUGCUUGUAUUUCAAUAUUUUCUGAUUACGAC